GGUUUUGUUCAAUAUUUAUGCAAUUGAUGCUUUAAUUAUAUGAUUACUUUGUUGUUCUGAUCAAAUUGACCACUUGAUUUUAAUUGCAAAGUUAAUUGAUUGUUAGUUGGGAUUAUUUUUAGUCCGUAAUUGCUGGAAAUAUUCUGACCUUAGAACACUUGGUGUGAAAAUCAAGGAAUUGCAUGAUCUAGCGUUAUCUCCAUACGUUUGGGUAGCUAGGAUUGGAUCUCUCUAUUUCUUUAUGCAAUUGACAAUUGUUUUGAUGCCUAUGGUCCAAGGACGUUCCU
rnacentral:lncRNA from 1 species